GUACAUGUUUUCAUUUGUUUUCCAUUUGCUAACUGUAAAAAUACCGCCGCCACGAACACAUCGAAAUAUUACAUUGUUUCACUUUUAUUGGACCAUACGUCAAAUUGUUAUGCAGUAACUGUGCGCGUGUGUUUUUUUUUCGCAAAUUUUCUUGUCUCAUGCGAGUUCUUCAAAAUCGAACGUGCAAAAUGGUGGUGUGCGGCUCGGUGUCCGAGCUUUCGCAAACUAAUUCAAAACUGCGGCUACCCAGAGACUAAUUCCUGCUACGGUGAAACUGUCUGGAGUAAAUAAUUAGGGGAACCUCCAACAAAGUGUACUGCAACAAAGACGACUGCGAGCAGUUCCAGCCAGGAGGUUGAUGUCCUGUUUCGGGAACACACCUCUCACACCGGAGGAGGAUUCGCUCCUUUUCCCGGAGAUGCCCCGAUACCUCGAGUGAUGCGCGUCGAGGAGAGUUUAAGCUGGUUCUUUUCGGCCGACCUGGCGUUGGACUACGAUGCGAUUUUGGUUCCGGUGUUGAUAAACACAAGCAUCAGCUCCGGAAAACCCAUCGAAAAAUAAGCACCAAAGCGAUGUUGAGGCGGCAAUCUCAUUCAGACCGGAAAAGUGAAUUUUGAGAUCCCUGACAAAACGUUCCUGCGGAAGAAGCCCCAACGAUGCGGGGGAUGUCCACAAUGACAAAGAACCGAUGCUGGAGUAAACUUCUGGACAAACUUCAGAGUGUAUGCUGGCGCGAAAACUAAGUAUCAACGAACUCAAAUUGGAAGAGGAUUCAGAUGAGCAGCAGCUCACAGAUUAAUUCCUAGUGGCGACGAAAUUCGGUCGGAGGACCUGCUUUGGCGUUACGGAGAAAGCUGUUGUUGCUGAGAACAUGCUACGGUCACCUGAUAUCUAAGCUUAUGCAAAUCACUGCUUGAAAUAGCGAAUUUCCCCUCAAGUUUCAAAUAAUUAAUUAUUUUCAACAAAUCAGAUUAUUUCAAGGAUAAUUUCUCAGUUUAAGCAAGAGCUUCCAUCAGCUUUACCUUUAUAAGAUAAAUAAUCGCCAGUACCAGAUAAUUGUAAUACUAUGUAGCAAGAAUAAAGCAGUUAUUAAAAAACAACAAAUUUCUCGUAAUUCAUUAUAUUUAUGAUGUUAAAAAGACAAAAAAACAGUAUAGCAUAUUGUU